UUACACCUGCUGCUGGAAGAUACCUGCUAAGCCCCAAUCCUUGUUCUCUAGCACAUUCUACUUGGUAAAUCGUGUUCCCUCUAGUUUAUGAUCUCAUUCCUUCUACCUCCUAGUCUGUGGGGGUCAGAGUAGAUUUCUUAUCCUCAGUUUACCCUUGGGGUGAGGAGGCACAGACUGGUCAAAGCACUGACUAUCUCUCCGUAGAUCAGGCGCAGAGGCAAAUCAGGGCUCUUGCUGUCUCCCCCCAGCAUGGAGACGCCGCUGGGGUUCGUCUGUUCAGUCUUGGGUUGGUCCUUCCCCUUGUUCCCCAGAGCUGACACCUGGGGCCAGGUACACACCACGAGCACAUUCUGACCACAGGCAUUUUCAUCAUCUCUUGCCACCUUCCGUCCUCCCAUUCUUGCCUGAAAGAGUCCCAAACACAACCCGAUCCUUCCUUCUUUCAUUUAUCAGACAGGUGUGACUACCUAUGGUGGGUCAGGCAAGGCCCAAGGAGCUGGUGACACGGCAGUGAAAAGGUCAUGGCCCUGCCUUACCCUGAACAUCAGCAGGUAGGGGAGAACCCUGUUCUUGAAGAGACUGUCUUUUUUCCAUUGGAUAUUCUUUCCUGCUUUGUCGAAGGUUAAUUGAUCAUACAGCUGUGAGUUCGUUUCUGGGCUCUCUACUGUGUUCCACCGAUCUGCGUGUCUGUUUUUGUGCCAGUGUCAUCCCGUCUGGAGGAUGACAACUUUGUAAAGGAGGUUGAAGUGGUGAUGCCACAAGCUUUGGUUUUCUUUUUCAAAAUUCUUUUUUGCUAUUUGGGGUCUUCUCUGGUUCUAUAAAAAUUUUAGGAUUAUUCGUUCCAACUCUGGAAAAGUUGGUGGUAUUUUGAUAGGAAUUACAUUAAAUGUAUAGUCUUUAUAUAUAUAUAUAUAUAUAUAUAUAUAGUAAAUAUAUUUAUAUUUUUAUAGGAAUUAUGUUAUAUAUAUAUAUAUAUAUAUAUAUAAAGUAAAUAUAUUUACUCUAUUUUCCAGCUAUAUUUCCAGCAAUAUAUCCAAUUAUAUUGAGGUAUAACUUUGAAAAAUUAAAAUCAUAUAUUGACAGAUUUUAAAAAUUGGCAAGUAAAAAUGUAUCUGUUCAAGGUACACAACUUGAUGAUUUGAUAUAGGCAUACACUGAGAAAUAGUCACCACAAUCAAACUAAUUAACAUAUCCACCUCCUCACACAGUUACCAUUUUCCUUCUUUCUUUCUUUGGGGGAACACUUGCCCCUUGGUGGGCACUAACGUUGUUUCCAGUUUUUGUGCUAUUCUGAAUACCACCACUAUAAAUAUCACAGACAUUUCCUUGCAUGGAAAGGAAACGCAUAUGUCUGCUGCGUGUGUCCCUCUGAAGAGGAUAGCUCAGUACUGACUAUGUGUAAUAUUUGGGUUUCCUGGGUACGAUAGACUUUCCCAAAGGGGUUCUACCAAUUUACAUUUUCACCAGACGUCAUGUGAGAGUUCUAUUUGCUCCAUAGCCCCAGAAGUUUCCUUUAUACAGAAUGUUUGCAAAAUUUUCAAGUCGAUUCUUAGGCAUUUUAUUUUUUGUUGUUGCUGGGAGGGAUUGUGAUCCUUUAAAUCACAAGUUAUGUCUAAUUAGUUAUUGUUUGUAUGUUAGUUUUGUAAGUUAGUCAGUUCUUACGGUUUUUAUUUAAAUAGCAUUUAUUAAUUUAUCAGGUUGUCUGAUCACUUAUAGGAACUUAUUGUUUUUUUCCUUCUUUUAAGAUUUAUUUAUUUAUUUUAAAGAGAAUGUGUGUGUGUGUGUGUGUGAGAGAGAGAGAGAGAGAGGCAGAGGGAGAGGGAGAAAGAAAAUCUCAAGCCGACUCCAGCAGGAGCACAGAGCCCGAUGUGGGGCUCAAUCCCAGGACCCUGAGAUCAUGACUUGACCUGAAAUCAAGAGUUGGAUGCUUAACUGACCAAGCCACCAGGUGCCCCUUGGUUUAGUCUUUUGAUUUUUCCAGAUAUAAAAUCAUAGCAUUUACAAAUAACAAUAAUUUUACAUCCACCCUAUGUUUUUGUACAUGCAAUUUAUUUGUCUUUUAUGGUUUUAGUGUGUAUUUCCUUUAAACAUUGAUCAUGGUGUUAAUGAUGAACAUUUCAAACCUCCAAAUCUCCAUUAAACCUCCAAAAUGUGUAGUGAAAUCUUUUUAUUAAUAGAGCACCUUCCCAGAGAAGCAUCUUGGUUCCAGCUCGUCACAGCAGCUUCUGAGAACAAUGAUGGGAUGAGGCAUUCAAGUAAAUAAAUAAAGGAAGUUCACCAAGACCCGAGCAGAGGCUGGAAUCAAAUGGGGAGAAACAGCUGACAAGUCCCAAGGCCCAUGGCGCCAGGACCUGGAGGCCCAGGGGAGCUGCUGGGGCAACUCCAGUCUGAGGACGGGGCAGCGCAGGACCCAGGAAGGACCAGUGCUUCUGUUCCAGUCCUUGUCCUGAGAGAAAAUCCUUAAAGGAAGCUGGAAUUAAGGAGGGAGGCGGAGACAACAGCUAUCUGCCACAAUGCUGAAAGAUCUGGGAUAUCUGUAGGAAGCGGGAACUCGCUCAAAAUGGAGAUCUGUACAAAAUCCCACCCCUGGCACAAAAUUUCCUGCAGCAUCUGCUGCUUCUUUCUAAGCCUCUGAGAUCUCGUUGUCCUCCUUCAGGAUCAAAAUAAUAACAACACUGGUUUCUGGUUUUUCCUGUUCAAGCUACCACAGCUGCCGAGGAAAAGCGAGCGGCCGGUCUUCUGACUGAGGAGAGCCCAGCCGGGGUGUCCCGGGCACCUCCUGCUCCUCCCCACAGCCACUGCCGCUCGUUCAAGGGCAAUUCUGGCGCUGAGCUUUCUCAUCCCGCUUUGCUGAAAAACAGAUGCCACGUCCCUCCUCUGUUUGGAUGCCGUGGACACCCUCCUCUAACUCCUCCAUUCAAGAUCCCCAGAAGUCCAGGAUGGGUCUGUCCCAAAGGGAAAAACAAAGAAUUCACAAGAGCACACGAGCCCAGGAGACAGAAAACACUGCUGUUCCUCUUGCCCGACAGCUGACAGAGUGGUGAGGGUAAGGGUCUAUGUAGCCAGAGCGACCCCAUCCCGGUUAAACAGCCGUUUUGUUGUCUGUGCAGCCAACGGAAGCGGACCCUGCCCCCCUCCGCCCAGAGAAACUUACUUAGAAACGAGUCGGGAAACCAGUGAAAUGUAGUGGGCCAGUUCCUGAUAACGGAGCCCGGAAUACAAGGACAAGUCAGGCCAGAUGGAGACACCCGAUCAGUACCAAGUACUGUUUGUAACAGUGAGAAGGUCUCGCCCAAACCGAAAUGACUCCAUCUUGGGAAGGACGACCACCCUGUUACUCACACUGAGUCUGUUAGCUGACUAAGCCUUCCCGGGAAGUACUGUUUCUAACGGUUCCCGAUACGGGGUAAUCUUGAAUAACAAGUCACCAGACCGCAUGGAACUAGCCAAUCAGCAAGAGACACACAAACCCGGUGGGUUGAGAUACCGAGAUACGGGUUGCGGUUUUACCCAAUAAAAGGUGGCCUGUAAGAUGGGGAAGGGGUCGCUCUCUUCUGAGAUGGCCCUGGCCGGUCAGUCUGACUUCUCAUGCUUGGCAUAAAAUAAAGCUUUGAAUAACUUUCA